GAUUGAACGCUGGCGGUAUGCUUAACACAUGCAAGUCGAACGGAAACGAUACUAGCUUGCUAGUAGGCGUCGAGUGGCGGACGGGUGAGUAACGCGUAGGAAUCUACCUGAUAGUGGGGGAUAGCCCGAAGAAAUUCGGAUUAAUACCGCAUAAUCUAUUCGUAGUAAAGUGGGGGACUUUCGAGCCUCACGCUAUCAGAUGAGCCUGCGUAAGAUUAGCUAGUUGGUAGGGUAAAAGCCUACCAAGGCAACGAUCUUUAGCUGGUCUGAGAGGAUGAUCAGCCACAUCGGGACUGAGACACGGCCCGAACUCCUACGGGAGGCAGCAGUGGGGAAUAUUGGACAAUGGGGGCAACCCUGAUCCAGCAAUACCGCGUGUGUGAAGAAGGCCUGAGGGUUGUAAAGCACUUUCAAUUGUGAAGAAAAGCUAGUGGUUAAUAGCCAUUAGCCUUGACAUUAACUUUAGAAGAAGCACCGGCUAACUCCGUGCCAGCAGCCGCGGUAAUACGGAGGGUGCAAGCGUUAAUCGGAAUUACUGGGCGUAAAGCGUGCGUAGGCGGUUUAUUAAGUCAGAUGUGAAAGCCCCGGGCUUAACCUGGGAACUGCAUUUGAAACUGGUCAACUAGAGUAUGGUAGAGGAAAGUGGAAUUUCUGGUGUAGCGGUGAAAUGCGUAGAUAUCAGAAGGAACAUCAAUGGCGAAAGGCAACUUUCUGGACCAAUACUGACGCUGAGGUACGAAAGCGUGGGUAGCAAACAGGAUUAGAUACCCUGGUAGUCCACGCCGUAAACGAUGAUAACUAGCCGUUGGGGGGAUUUACCCCUUAGUGGCGAAGCUAACGCGUUAAGUUAUCCGCCUGGGGAGUACGGCCGCAAGGUUAAAACUCAAAGGAAUUGACGGGGACCCGCACAAGCGGUGGAGCAUGUGGUUUAAUUCGAUGCAACGCGAAGAACCUUACCUGGUCUUGACAUCCUGAGAACUUUCUAGAAAUAGAUUGGUGCCUUCGGGAACUCAGUGACAGGUGCUGCAUGGCUGUCGUCAGCUCGUGUCGUGAGAUGUUGGGUUAAGUCCCGUAACGAGCGCAACCCCUAUCCUUAUUUGCCAGCACAUCAUGGUGGGAACUAUAAGGAGACUGCCGGUGAUAAACCGGAGGAAGGCGGGGACGACGUCAAGUCAUCAUGGCCCUUACGACCAGGGCUACACACGUGCUACAAUGGGAAGGACAAAGAGCCGCGAAGCCGCGAGGUGUAGCUAAUCUCAGAAACCUUUUCGUAGUCCGGAUUGGAGUCUGCAACUCGACUCCAUGAAGUCGGAAUCGCUAGUAAUCGUAGAUCAGAAUGCUACGGUGAAUACGUUCCCGGGUCU
rnacentral:rRNA from 1 species